UACGUAGGGUGCAAGCGUUAAUCGGAAUUACUGGGCGUAAAGCGUGCGCAGGCGGCUUUGCAAGACAGAUGUGAAAUCCCCGGGCUCAACCUGGGAACUGCAUUUGUGACUGCAAGGCUAGAGUAUGGUAGAGGGGGAUGGAAUUCCGCGUGUAGCAGUGAAAUGCGUAGAUAUGCGGAGGAACACCGAUGGCGAAGGCAAUCCCCUGGGCCUGCACUGACGCUCAUGCACGAAAGCGUGGGGAGCAAACAGG
rnacentral:rRNA from 1 species